rnacentral:rRNA from 1 species
GUAGGGGGCAAACGUUGCUCGGAAUUACUGGGCGUAAAGGGUGUGUAAACAACUGAACAAGUCUUAAAUGAAAUCCCGAAACCCACCCCCAAAACUGUCUUCGAUACCACCCAGCUUGAGAAUGGUUGAGGAGAACGGAAUUCCCGGUGGAGCGGUGAAAUGCGUAGAUAUCGGGAGGAACACCAGAGGCGAAGGCGGUUCUCUGGGCCAUUCCUGACACUGAGACACGAAAGCUAGGGGAGCAAACGGGAUUAGAUACCCCGGUAUCCUAGCCGUAAACGAUGGGCACUAGAUGUUUUCCGCUUUAUGUGGGAGUGUCGUAGCUAACGCAUUAAGUGCCCCCGCCCAAAGAGUACGGUCGCAAGGCUG